rnacentral:rRNA from 1 species
UACCCGCUGAACUUAAGCAUAUUAAUAAGCGGAGGAAAAGAAACUAACAAGGAUUCCCCUAGUAACGGCGAGUGAAGCGGGAUGAGCUCAAGCUUAAAAUCUCUGUCACAAAAAUUUUAUUUUGUGCGGCGAAUUGUAGUCUAUAGAGGCGUGAUCAGUGUAGGUACUUGAGAUAAGUUUCUUGAAAAAGAACAGCAUGGAGGGUGAUACUCCCGUUCAUACUUGAGUGGCUUGCAUGUACGAUCCGUUUUCUUUGAGUCGCGUUGUUUGAGAAUGCAGCGCAAAGUAGGUGGUAAAUUCCAUCUAAAGCUAAAUAUUGGUGCGAGACCGAUAGCGAACAAGUACCGUGAGGGAAAGAUGAAAAGAACUCUGAAAAGAGAGUUAAAGAGUACCUGAAACUGCUGAAAGGGAACCGAAUCGUUUCUAGUGUCUAUAAUCUAUGACAUAUUCCAUUGGGAAGUGUGUGCGUGUGUAUACUAUGGCAGCGGCUUUUUUUAGUUGCGCUUGGUGUGCGUGCUGUAUGUGUUUUCUGGUGCCCUGUGUUAUAGUGUGACGUCAAGGUCAGUUUGUAUGCUGCGGGAAAUGGCUACUAGGGAGGUAGGGCUUACGCUUGCGUUUGUCUAUUAUAUCUUGGUAGUUGUGUCGUGGUUGAGACUGAGGUGUUCUACAACGUGCUUAUGAGUGGGUCGGCGUCUCCGUGUGCGCCGUGUGCAGAUAGCUUGCUAUGUGUGUGUGGUGGUGUGUGGAUUGAUGUAGACUUUAACUUGUUGCCGUUCGGGACUUUGGCGAAAUAGAGCGAUUUGACCCGUCUUGAAACACGGACCAAGGAGUCUAACAUAUGUGCAAGUGUUAGGGUGUGGAAACCCCAGCGCGAAAUGAAAGUAAAGGAUGCUGAAAAGUAUCUGAGGUAGGAAAUGCUAUAAACUCCGGUUUAUGGUGUGGCACUAUCGACCGAUCAUGAACCUUCGUGGUGAAAGAUUUGAGUUUGAGCACACAUGUUGGUACCCGAAAGAUGGUGAACUAUGCCUGAGUAG